rnacentral:rRNA from 1 species
UACGAAGGGGGCUAGCGUUGCUCGGAAUCACUGGGCGUAAAGGGUGCGUAGGCGGGUCUUUAAGUCAGGGGUGAAAUCCUGGAGCUCAACUCCAGAACUGCCUUUGAUACUGAGGAUCUUGAGUCCGGGAGAGGUGAGUGGAACUGCGAGUGUAGAGGUGAAAUUCGUAGAUAUUAGGAAGAACACCGGUGGCGAAGGCGGCCCACUGGAUCGGUACUGACGCUGAGGUGCGAAAGCGUGGGGAGCAAACAGG